rnacentral:misc_RNA from 1 species
AAAGUAAGAUAAGGUAAGGUAAAAUAAUGAAAGGUAAUGUAUGAUUUUUUCAAUGUUAUAUUGUUUGGGAGGAAAGUAAGAUAAGUGAUGACUUACUUUGGAUCCAAGGUAUGGGAAGGUGAAUAUUGGUAAUAACUAAUAUUUGAUUUAAAAACCUUCCCAACAACCCAAUUUGGUGGGUUGAGUUUUAAAACCUCCAAAAACCCUCA